rnacentral:ncRNA from 1 species
AGUCUUCAUAGAGUGGCCGUGCCGCUUUAUAUCUCCCUGUUGGACUUCGCCGGGCCUUGUGCCCGGCAUUUCUU